GGGCCGCGCCGGGGAGGCCGUGCCCGCUGCGGGAGGGGAGUCGCCCAUUAAUAGGGCUGGGGACGGCAGUGGGGGCGCUGCCGCCGGGGGAGCCCAGCCCGGCAGCCGGCGGAGAUGGCGGUGGCGGGCGCAGCUGCGGGGCCGCAGCGGCAGCUGGAUAACGGUUCCUUGGAGAUAACGCAGAGCACAGAAGAUGAUCCUCUACUUGAUGCACCACUUCUUCCACCUCAUGCAUUACAUUCCCAACUGAGACCGAGAUUCCAUGCUAUUCCUACAGUCUUGAUUGCCAACUUUCUGUUGCUUAUACAUGUUGCUUUUGUUGUCUUAGUAUUUUUAGCAGGUAUAUAUUGUUCUUAUGUAAACCCAAAUGAGGACGAAUGCCCCGGAAACUACACCAACCCACUUAAGGUGCAAAGUGUCAUAAUCAUUGCAAAGGUAAUUCUGUGGAUUCUGCAUGUUGUCUUUGAACGAUAUCUUCAGCAUCAUCACAGUAAAGUCAGAUGCAGAGGAUACCUCAUGAUCUACCGAUCAACAAGACAUCUUAAAAGACUGCCACUCCUUAUACAUUCUACAGGAAAUGCAGCCCUGCUUCUGAUACUGUCAGCUCAGCAUUCCUUUCCUAACUACAGUAAAAAGUAUCUCUACCUUAUCCUUGGAGUCUUGUGUCUGGAGCUGAUUUCUUCUUUGACAUGCAUAGUCAUUUACACAGUGAAAAUAAGCAAUUUCAACAAGGCAAGGCCAAGGCCUGAUAUAAUUGAAGAAGAAAAGAUGUAUGCUUACCCCAGUCACAUUACUUCGGAGAUUGGAUUCAGGGAAAGCUCAGGUUUGGAAGAAAUAGUUGAAAAGCAAGGAGAUGUGAUAGACUAUCUCCAGCGACACAAUGCCCUGCUCAGCAAGAAACUACUAGCACUAACAUCACAGCAAAUCAGAGGUUAGAAAUAUCCAGGAAGCUGCUGCUGCAUUUCAAGAGGAAUCCAAAGCAAUGUAAUUUGAUUUGGAGGACAUACAACACAACUUGAUUACUGUCUCUAAUGGAAGUAGUAUAGCUCUCAAGUUGGAAGUAUGCAUUCAUAUUAGAAAUGUAAAAUCUGCAGCUGGAGAUACUGACUAGUCUGAACAGACACUUUCUUUGAGGACAUUAACUUUUGCUGGGCUGAAGUUGGACCUGAGCUCCCUGACUAAACUUUGUUUUUACGUUGUUCAAUUGAGAUUUUUUUGCACAGCUGUAACAAACUCCAAACUACCAAAGUCUUCUGUGCUUCUAGAACCCAAACAUUUGUUUUCCAGAAUGAAACAUUGCAAGGAUUUUGGACCAGUCUGGAAAAGCAAGACUUUUGGAUAUGGCAUUUAAUCUGUACUGCCAGAUAGCAGCAUUUAGAUGGAGAAGGCACUUUCCUAAACUGCUGAUCACAGUAAAACCCUGCAAAGAGGAAGAACAGGAUCUACUCGUUUAUGAAUACUCCAGGUGCCUAUGUUCUAAAGGUAACAUGAGGAGGGCUAAUAAAAACUUCUUAAGGGCGCCUCUCUCCAGCAAGUUCCUACAAAGGUGGUGGCAGCCUUAUCUAUCAUGGAUAAGUUCCUCUAAAUUCCUGCUGCCCGGACAAGAGUAAGUUUGGGUUAGCUUGAUGCAGCUGGUUCCUACUGGAGCAUCCCGCUGAAGCUAGCUUGUAGCAAAGUAGUAGGUAAUAGCAUCUUCACUCACUUGGCUGUUCUUAAAGCAAACUUCUCCACUGCAUCAGUGGAAAAAGCUAAUGGGCCGUGUGCAAGAGUAAUACUUGGUACUAAGCCAUGUGGGAAACCUGCCUAAGUGAGAGGAUAGCCCAAGCAGAGCACCUCAUGGCUCCUCUUACAGUGAAUCCUCUAGCUCCACACCAAUGGAGAAACUAAGAUCUGAAUGCAAUGAUUGCAGACUAGAAUCUAGCGCUUCUUCACAAUCUCACUGGAACUAGGGCUUGGUCUAAACAUGGAAUUUAUGUUGGUAUAACUACAUUGCUCAGGGGUGUGGAAAAUCCACUCCUGGUCAACAUAGUUACAGCGAUCUAACUCCCGAUGUAGAGUGCUAUGUCAAUGGGAGUGCUUCUACCACCUCUUGGGAACAUGGAGUUUCUAUGCCAACGAAAGUAGCUCUCCUAUUGGCAUAGGUAGCGUCUUCAUUAAGUGCUACAGUGGUGAAGCUGCACCACUGCAAGUGUAGACGAGCCCUUGGUUUGGUAUUGCUGUCUAAUAAUAGAGCACAAUCUUAAAUUCAGAUUUGGUUCAGCUAUAGCUGCCUUCUGUGACCUCAGUUUCUUUUCUGUCCCAUUCUGAGACUUAAUUGCUCAAUCUGCAAGAAGCUUCCUUUGGAGGAUUCCCCGGAAAACAAAUCAUAAGAGGUCUCUGAGCCUUGCAGGGGUGAGUCUGGUGGCUCAGACAAUGGUGGGGGCUAAAAAGGGCCAGGGCCAGGUACCACGAGAUUUCCAGCCCCCAGAGGAUUUCCAGAGUGGGCUGGAGGUCUUAGAACCAUGAUAGGAGCUCUGUACUUAGGGCCACUUCCUAUUUUGUUGGUUUCUAGUAGUCAAGGAAGACCAGGGUAACAGAUAAUCACAUGGAUUACAGGCAGCAGUUUGGCAAUGACCAAACCAACUCAAUUAUGCAGGGCAUGUGGCUGGCCAACUGCAGUAUUGGGACCAAGAACCUGUGGGGCAGCAGGAUGGGCUAACGGACCUGGGGCAGCUACUUGAUGCAGGGGCCUGUGUUGCCUAUCCCAUGUGGGGAAGCAAUGGGGAAAAUUCAGGAAGGCAAGAGGAAACAGCAAAAGGCCAGGAAGGGAACUACAUCCUAAGCAUCCUGGAGAUGAUGUGCAGCUGGAAAAAAUGUGCAGGGCAAUAUGACACCUCUGCCUUGCAGCAGAGUGAUUUCGCAAACAAUUGGGGCCCACUGUGAGGGCAGGGGGGCAGGCCCCAGGGUUCUAGCGUCCUCAGUGGGUAUUGUCAUAACCAUACAGCUAAGGGUAGCCUAGAAUCUCUCCUUAUCUGUAAGGGGUUAAGAAGCUCAAAUAACCUGGUUGGCACCUGACCAAAAGGACCAAUGGGGAAAGAAGAUACUUUCAAAUCUGGGGCGGGGAAGGCUUUGUUUGUGCUCUUUAUUUUUGUGUUCUCUUGGGAAGCAGAGAAGCACCAGGUCAGAAAACUCCUCCUCCUAUAAACCAUCCUAAAGUGAGUCUCAAUAUUGCAAAAAGAGUAAGUAAAUAAGGCAGGGUGCGUUCGAUUACCUUUCGUUUUCAACUUGUGAAUUUUCCCUAUGUUAAGAGGGAGGUUUAUCUCUGUUUUUUGUAACUGUAAAGUUUUGCCUAGAGGGGAAUCCUCUGUUUUGAAUCCGAUUGCCCUGUAAAGUUACCUUCCAUCCUGAUUUUAGAGGUGCUUCUUUUACUUUUUUUCUCUUUAUAAUAAAGUUCUGUUUUUUUAAGAA